rnacentral:rRNA from 1 species
UUGCACCUGAUGGCGAGUGGCGAACGGGUGAGUAAUGCAUCGGAACGUGCCAAUCGUGGGGAUAACGCAGCGAAAGCUGUGCUAAUACCGCAUACGAUCUACGGAUGAAAGCGGGGACUUCGGGCCUCGCGCGAUUGGAGCGGCCGAUGUUAGAUUAGGUAGUUGGUGGGGUAAAAGGCUCACCAAGCCGACGAUCUAUAGCUGGUCUGAGAGGAUGACCAGCCACACUGGAACUGAGACACGGUCCAGACUCC